CGCCCGCCAGUCGCCCGCCCGCCAGGGUUAGGUUAGGUUAGAUUUUUUGGCUCAAACCGCUCGUUGGAGAUUUUUUGAAAAUAUUCAACGUCUACUAUCAAAUAGGAAAAGACGUGCUUCCUGCACAUUAUUAGCACAGUGCGCCGCGGUUUUUUGAAUAAAGAACUCCCAAGUCUCUCGCCAAUUGGAAUCUAGUUCCAAUUCAAAUCGGUUUUCGAAAAUUUUAACGCGUAUUUCUAAUGAGCGAUUUGGACCAAAGUCCGCCGCGGGGGGCAGUUGUUUAUUUUGCCAUUAUAUUUUUUCAGAAGACACCGUCCGAUGAUGGCAUAGUUAUUGUUAAAAAUUAAAUUAUUUAUUGAGCAAAAGACUGUAGUGCUUUGUGUCGUGUUGUGUUAUUCAUUUACAAUUUUUAUUUUUUUAAUUCAUUGGACUUUCCUGUGUUUUGUUCCGUUGAUUUAUUUGGUUAUUCGGUGCUUCGUUCUACAGUCGGUUUAUUCAAAAAGAUCACACAAAAGGGGAACGAUAAGCAGACCG